rnacentral:rRNA from 1 species
UCCUCCCUCUUUCUUCGCGCCUCCCCCCUGCACGUCGACCGCGCGAGCGAUAGCUUGCUUUCUUGAGCGAGUGGCGAACGGGUGAGUAACGCGUGAGGAACCUGCCUUAAAGAGUGGGACAACAGUUGGAAACGACUGCUAAUACCGCAUAAGCCCACGCCCCGGCAUCGGGUUGGGGGAAAAGGAGCAAUCCGCCUUGAGAUGGCCUCGCUGCCGGUUAGCUAGUUGGUGAGGUAACGGCCCACCAAGGCGACGAUCGGUAGCCGGACUGAGAGGUUGAACGGCCACAUUGGGACUGAGACACGGCCCAGACUCCUACGGGAGGCAGCAGUGGGGAAUACUGCACAAUGGGGGAAACCCUGAUGCAGCGACGCCGGGUGGGGGAAGAAGGUGUUCGGAAUGUAAACUCCUGUUGUUGAGGAAGAUAAUGACGGUACUCAACAAAGAAGUGACGGCUAACUACGUG